GACAGAGGUGCCGAGCGUUAGGCGGAAUCACUGGGCUUAAAGCGUGUGUAGGCGGGCGGACAAGUACCUUGUGAAAUCCCACGGCUCAACCGUGGAACUGCUGGGUAUACUGUUUGUCUUGAGCCAACUAGGGGCGAGCGGAACAGACGGUGGAGCGGUGAAAUGCGUAGAUAUCGUCUGGAACGCCAAAGGUGAAAACAGCUCGCUGGGGUUGUGCUGACGCUGAGACACGAAAGCCAGGGGAG
rnacentral:rRNA from 1 species